rnacentral:rRNA from 1 species
UACGUAGGGUGCAAGCGUUAAUCGGAAUUACUGGGCGUAAAGCGUGCGCAGGCGGUGAUGUAAGACAGUUGUGAAAUCCCCGGGCUCAACCUGGGAACUGCAUCUGUGACUGCAUCGCUGGAGUGCGGCAGAGGGGGAUGGAAUUCCGCGUGUAGCAGUGAAAUGCGUAGAUAUGCGGAGGAACACCGAUGGCGAAGGCAAUCCCCUGGGCCUGCACUGACGCUCAUGCACGAAAGCGUGGGGGGCAAACAGG